UUUUGAUCCGCUGACGUCAGCGUGACAUCACUACUGACAUCAGUGCCCUAGGGCUGAAGCCCAGGCAAAAUCUGCCCUUGGGCUUGCCCAGGCUGGUGGGACCCAAGGCUGCAGGUGCUGCGCUGGAGAUCCAAAACUGAGAGAAUGGGCCUCUUGCUCUAGCUAAAGUCCUUGCGGUGGACAUGCUCUUAGUGAGAGAUUUAGUUCACGAAAAUAACAUAUACAACAUGGAAAAGAAAAAAAGUUUGGAUCAAUUUAAGUUAUGAACGUAAUUAGAAGCAAGCAUGUUGCAAAACUUUGGAUUCGAACCAAAAAAUAAAAUUUAUGGUGCUCAAGUGUUGAUCUUUGAAGAAAAUACCUUAGUCUUUUAAUAGCUUCUGGAUCCAGCAGCAGCCUACUUCUUCUCUCUCUUUUGGAGAUGUCUAUCAUCUAACCGAAGCAAAGCAAUAAUAAAGGUCGGGUUAUUGUGAUUGAGUAAUUUAUAGGGGGAGGGAGAGUGUGAGCCAGUUAGGGAAACUAAAUUCAAAUCCUAAUUAAUUUCUCUUUAGUUUGAUAUUUGGCAGGUUCUGGUGGUGUGUUUUUACAUUAAUAUCCUCGAGCUGUGUUGUGGUGGGUUCGGUUUUUUUUGGGAAUUUUGGUGAAGCAACAUAGUUUAGGGCCUGUGACACCUCUGGGUUACUAGACGCUGGAACGGCGCCGUUUUGCUUAGGGACAAAAUGUUUGGUUUGGUUUCACUAAAGCUGGGCAACGGAAACUCCAGCGUAGCUCUCUCCAUCUCCACAGCAGCUCCUUCCAAUCCGUUUUCUUUCCAUUCAGAUUCUGAACAACCGUACGGAAAACCAUAAAUCGCCAAAUUCCAAAACCAAGAAAGUGUUGCCUCAUCCUCAUCCUCCUACUCCAUGUCGUUGAUUUUCUCCAGUUAUAGUUGCAGUCAAGGUUCGUUCUUCAUUACUUGCUGAAGGAGAUCCAAGUUUUUAGAUUGUCAAAAUAGUCAGCCAAAAAGAAAGAGCACUAAAAGUAAUGGCAACCAAGAUAUGCGUAGUGAUUCGAUCUUUUCAUCACCCAAACCUUUUGUGGGGGCUUCCACCUUCCACACGGAGGAUAGCAUUGCCUGAAUCACGAGUCUUAUAUACUGUGUUGCGAUCACCUCAUAUUGAUAAAAAGUCCAGAGAGCAGUUUGAAAUGGAAAUCAAGAAACAAUAUCUGGUCAUAAAGACACAACCGCAUGAAUUGCAGAAGAAGUUUUUUUGGCUAAAGCGCCAACGUAUAUUUGGAGCUCAAUAUGAACUCCUAUUUUCUUGCAAGACUCGAUUGGAUAAGGAACAACUGCAGAAAUUGCUUUGAAGCAAGAUCCUUGCAUUGACCCUUCCCUGAACCAGAACCAGCAUGGCGGCGCUUCUGGACGGUUCUGAUAAACACAGGAAGGGAGGGGAAAAAUAGCACGUCAAAUGAUGCCCUAGUUUGUAUUGUGGCAGGUGUUUUUCAAGUUUUGUAAGUUUAAAAUCUGUUUUGAUCAGAUAGGAAGAUGCAGAACUGUUUUUGGUUAUUGUGGGAUUUUGCAUCCAAGUUAGAGAAUGAUAUGAGGUUGCUAUAAUAAUCCAACACUCGACAUUUUCAACUUGGAGUUGGAUAUCUCACUGAACAUUUGCAUUAUCGAUCACAAAUGUUAGAAGGCACGGGCAAAGAAAUACUUGCAUUAGAGGGCUGGAA